rnacentral:rRNA from 1 species
UACAGAGGGGGCAAGCGUUUAUUCGGAAUUAUUGGGCGUAAAGGGCGCGUAGGCGGCCUGGCAAGUGACGGGUGAAAGCCCUCGGCUUAACCGAGGAACUGCCUGUCAGACUGUUAGGCUUGAGACCGGGAGAGGUGAGUGGAAUUCCCAGUGUAGCGGUGAAAUGCGUAGAUAUUGGGAGGAACACCAGUGGCGAAGGCGGCUCACUGGACCGGUACUGACGCUGAGGCGCGAAAGCGUGGGGAGCAAACAGG